UCCUUCAGAUCCCCAACAAACUUGUCUGUGU
rnacentral:piRNA from 1 species